AGAUCGAUGAUGAUGAUUAUGUAUAAUUGCCUGAUAGACCAUGAGGGCAAUUUCAGUCACUACCUCAUCUGAGAUCAUCU